GAGUUAAUUAUUUUCAAAUAAGUGGAAUCCCAAAAAAUGAUUUAAACGGCAAAAAUAAAGUGUAAAAUUAUAUGAAACAUGAAAAUUGAAAUCCCAUUUUUCAUCAUUUCCUUUUCAUAUAUUGAAUACACUAUUUACACCAACCACUAGUGAAUUAUAUUCGGAUUUCGGUCUUAGGUAUCCGUCCUUGUCUCCGGGAAUAUUAUACCCACACAAGUUGUCAACAUCCGUUUUCAAACUGUUCAAAGUGUUCUUCACAAUCUCCCUGGAAAAUAUUCACGCUAUCACUUCGUGCUCAGAUAAUAGAACAUUGUAAACCUCUAACAGCAAAUGCGGACCAAAAUUAAUCAAAUUUGAAAGCACGGAUGAUCACGUGUAAUGCCGACUGAUGGAGAAAGAUGUUCACUAUGGAUCAAAAAUUCAAAACAGAGGACUUUUUUAUUCAAACAAAAAUACUUGUACAUGUAUGAUAUUCUGUACAUACAACAAGAAAACAGUAAUCAAACGGAAUGUCCAGUGAUGUUGAAAGCAAAAUUAUUUUUGUUAACAGAAAACAAUAGGACUACAAUAUAUUAAGGUACACAACACAUCGUGUCAGAAGAAUAAUUUUACUGGAGAAAAAAAAAUUUAAUACCUGGAAUCAGCAAUUUACAAAAUGUAUACAAAAUUUAUUAAGAGAGAUAUAUUCAUGUACAGAAUGGUAACCCCACCAAAUAACUCAGGUGGUUCAAGUGAUUAUUAGCAGACAUUUUUGUUGAACUAAUGCAGGAUUAAACAAAUGAAGCUUUAGCAGACUAUGGGCUCCAAAGUGUAGUAAAAAGAGGAUUUUUAAAUAUGACAGACUCAUAAACAUUAAAAUGUGCAUAAGUGAAAUGUUACAAUAUUUAGAAAAAAUUCAGAUUAUUGACUCAGUUGUUUUCAUGAAAUUUUUUAUCAAAGCAAUAUCACUGUUAUAUAAUAAAUAAGAUUCCAUA